rnacentral:rRNA from 1 species
CCCAAACCAAUAAAGUUUUCUUUAUUGGGGUUGCGGACAUAUCAUAACGAAGAGGUAUCGUAAUUGAAGAGGUUUGGAAAGACCCACCACAGAAGGUAAUAGUCCUGUAUGUUAAACGAGAAGACUUCAGAUAUGAUCCAGAGUACCACGGGACACGUGAAACCCUGUGGGAAGCAGGAGGGACCACCCUCCAAGGCUAAAUACUACCUAGUGACCGAUAGCGUAUAGUACCGUGAGGGAAAGGUGAAAAGAACCCCGGGAGGGGAGUGAAAUAGAACCUGAAACCCUGCACUUACAAGCUGUGGAAGCACAUUUCUUGUGUGACCGCGUACUUUUUGUAGAACGGGCCAACGAGUUACGUUAAGUAGCAAGGUUAAGCACUUAAGGUGUGGAGCCGUAGCGAAAGCGAGUUUUAACUGAGCGUUCAGUUACUUGACGUAGACCCGAAACCGGGCGACCUACCCAUGAGCAGGAUGAAGCGAAAGUAAAAUUUCGUGGAGGUCCGAACCCACGAGCG